CACCAGAAACUGGAGGAGCAGAGAGGAAAAGCAAUCCCACCUGCUACUGAAGGCCACUCCCUUGACCACUGGCCUGCCCUCCCUCCUGAGCCCACGGGGACCUCCCGGCUGCUGUCAAGGUUCACUGAAGGCUCCUGACACAAAGGUCAAAUGUUCUUCUUGAAAGGAUAGAGGGUUUGCCUCCCCCUGGGGGAGACCUGGCUGUGCUGAGGCAGGAGGAGGCAAGGUGGAACAACUGUGAUGGCUCUUGGGGGAAAAUCCCGUGGAUAGAGGAGCCUGGUGGGCUACAGACCAUGGGGUCCCAAAGAGCUGGACAUGACUGAGCAUGCAUGAAGCCACACAAUGGAAUACUACACAGCUGGGAAGAUGAACAAGGGAUCUAUUGUUAUGGAAAGAAUGUCAAGAUAGAUUUAGUGAAGACAAAGUGAUGGAGGGCUCCCUGGUGGAAUCUGUGGGGCAGGACUGAAGGAACCAGAAGCAUCUGAGGCCGAUGUUGGUCCCUGGAUAAACUUACUGACUUUAGGCCCGCCUUCAAGCUGGAGUGACGGGAGAAUAAUAAACUCUGAACAAACAAACCAG
ensembl:lncRNA